GAUGAAGAACGUAGUGAAAUGCGAUACUUGGUGUGAAUUGCAGAAUCCCGUGAACCAUCGAGUCUUUGAACGCAAGUUGCGCCCGAAGCCAUUAGGCCGAGGGCACGCCUGCCUGGGCGUCACACGUCGUUGCCCCCCCCAUCUACUCCUUCGGGAUUGCGGGGGGCGGAUGAUGGCCUCCCGUGCGCCUCGCCGCGCGGUUGGCAUAAAUGCCAAGUCCUCGGCGACGCACGCCACGACAAUCGGUGGUUGCGAAACCUCGGUUGCCCGUCGUGUGCGUUCGUCGCGCAUCGAGGGCUCGAAAAAAUGCUCGGCUCCGGCUGGGCUUUCAACGCGACCCCAGGUCAGGCGGGGUUACCCGCUGAAUUUAAGCAUAUCAAUAAGCGGAGGA
rnacentral:misc_RNA from 1 species